UAAGGGGUUAAUACAUAGUUUGUAUUUGAAUAGUUAGAUUAACGUGUUAGUAAUCCAAUUGUAGGCGGUUCGUGUGUGGAUCUCGUCAGCAUAUCGUCGCAAACAGGAAAUCCCCAACCAUAGUGGGCUUGGAGCUGUGAGGGAAUUCAGAGUGGUCACCCGUUCUGAAAGUUUGAUUUUCUUCUGGUGAACUGGACAUCCUUUUAUUUACGUUGAAGUUUUGGGUUUUUAAAUGUAAUAAGGCCGCUUAAUUAUUUUUUAUGGUUUUAAUAUGUAUUACUAAGAUAGGUAUUACUUA